rnacentral:rRNA from 1 species
UACGGAGGGUGCAAGCGUUAUCCGGAUUCACUGGGUUUAAAGGGUGCGUAGGUGGGUCGGUAAGUCAGUGGUGAAAUUUCGGAGCUUAACUCCGAAACUGCAUUUGAUACUGGCAUGCUUGAGGACUGGAGAGGAGACUGGAAUUCACGGUGUAGCAGUGAAAUGCGUAGAGAUCGUGAGGAAGACCAGUGGCGAAGGCGGGUCUCUGGACAGUUCCUGACACUGAGGCACGAAGGCCAGGGGAGCAAACGGG